rnacentral:lncRNA from 1 species
GCCCCGCCGCCGCGGGAGCCCCCGGAGCCCCCGGAGCAGCGGGAGGCUGGGGCCCGCGGGGCUCCGUCCCCUCCCCGGCUCGAGCGUCUGCAGAGGGAUGGUGCCGACAGCCCCCCCUCGUCCUCAGGCUCGCACCGGUGCUGAAAGCCCUGGGGACCCAAAGACAAGGGAACACCGAGAGGACACAGAUAGUAGAACGUGUGCCUUGGAAAAAGCGCCAGCAAGCUCUCAUUUUGGAAAAUUCUGAACUAGGCUAUGGUGACUUAGAACUUCUCCUCGUACAGCAAUUAUUCGUUUAUUGUAAGUACUUUUUUAAUACCUGUCUUCCCCUGUGGACAGUAGCUCCCUUUGGGGGAGAGACGUGUGGUUCACCACAGUGUUGCCAGCACCUGACACGUUCUUA